UGUUUUUAUAUUAUAUCCUGAUUUAAAUUUUUUCUUUCAAAUUCAAGAUUCAAUUUCUGAUUCGCAUUAUGAUGUGGCAAAUCGAAUGCAACAACAAUAAAUAUCAAUAUCAUGCACCUUUAUUUUGUGUAUAUUUGUUAUUUACUUUAAUCACUUGCAUAGUGGUUUGUGUAUGCCCAUUGAAUAAUAAAAUGCACAUAAUUAACAUCCCCUCCCAUUAAUUCAUCUAUAUAUAUGAUUUGGG
rnacentral:lncRNA from 7 species